CGGAGCAACGCCGCGUGUGGGAGGAAGGUUUUAGGACUGUAAACCACUUUUCUCAGGGAAGAAGAUCUGACGGUACCUGAGGAAUAAGCAUCGGCUAAUUCCGUGCCAGCAGCCGCGGUAAUACGGGAGAUGCAAGCGUUAUCCGGAAUUAUUGGGCGUAAAGCGUUCGUAGGCGGUUCAACAAGUCUGUUGUCAAAGGUCGCAGCUUAACUGCGGAAAGGCAAUGGAAACUGUGGAGCUAGAGUGUGGUAGGGGUAAGGGGAAUUCCCAGUGUAGCGGUGAAAUGCGUAGAUAUUGGGAAGAACACCAGCGGCGAAAGCGCCUU
rnacentral:rRNA from 1 species